rnacentral:rRNA from 1 species
AUUGAACGCUGGCGGCAGGCCUAACACAUGCAAGUCGAGCGGAUGAAGGGAGCUUGCUCCUGGAUUCAGCGUCGGACGGGUGAGUAAUGCCUAUGAAUCUGCCUGGUAGUGGGGGAUAACGUCCGGAAACGGGCGCUAAUACCGCAUACUUCCUGAUGGAGAAAGUGGGGGAUCUUCGGACCUCACGCUAUCAGAUGAGCCUAGGUCGGAUUAGCUAGUUGGUGGGGUAAAGGCCUACCAAGGCGACGAUCCGUAACUGGUCUGAGAGGAUGAUCAGUCACACUGGAACUGAGACACGGUCCAGACUCCUACGGGAGGCAGCAGUGGGGAAUAUUGGACAAUGGGCGAAAGCCUGAUCCAGCCAUGCCGAGUGUGUGAAGAAGGUCUUCGGAUUGUAAAGAACUUUAAGUUGGGAGGAAGGGCAGUCAGUUAAUACCUUGCUGUUUUGACGUUACCAACAGAAUAAGCACCGGCUAACUUCGUG